rnacentral:rRNA from 1 species
UGUGUAGGCGGCCGCGCAAGUCGGAUGUGAAAGCCCCGGGCUCAACCCGGGAAGUGCACCCGAAACUGCGUGGCUCGAGUACCGGAGAGGUUGGUGGAAUUCUCGGUGUAGAGGUGAAAUUCGUAGAUAUCGAGAGGAACACCGGUGGCGAAGGCGGCCAACUGGACGAGUACUGACGCUGAGACACGAAAGCGUGGGGAGCAAACAGGAUUAGGAUACCCUGGUAGUCCACGCCGUAAACGAUGGGUGCUAGGUGUCACGGGCUUUGACUCCUGUGGUGCCGUAGCCAACGCAUUAAGCACCCCGCCUGGGAAGUACGGCCGCAAGGCUAAA